rnacentral:rRNA from 1 species
UACGGAGGAGGCAAGCGUUAUCCGGAAUUAUUGGGCGUAAAGCGUCCGUAGGUGGCUAGUCAAGUCUGCGGUCAAAGACUGGGGCUUAACCCUGGAAAGGCCGUGGAAACUGACGAGCUAGAGUGCAGUAGGGGUAGAGGGAAUUCCCGGUGUAGCGGUGAAAUGCGUAGAGCUCGGGAAGAACAUCGGUGGCGAAGGCGGCAUCCUGGACCAACACUGACGCUGAGUGAGCGAAAGCCAGGGGAGCAAACGGG